rnacentral:rRNA from 1 species
AUUGAACGCUGGCGGCAUGCCUUACACAUGCAAGUCGAACGGCAGCACGGAGCUUGCUCUGGUGGCGAGUGGCGAACGGGUGAGUAAUAUAUCGGAACGUACCCUGGAGUGGGGGAUAACGUAGCGAAAGUUACGCUAAUACCGCAUACGAUCUAAGGAUGAAAGUGGGGGAUCGCAAGACCUCAUGCUCGUGGAGCGGCCGAUAUCUGAUUAGCUAGUUGGUAGGGUAAAAGCCUACCAAGGCAUCGAUCAGUAGCUGGUCUGAGAGGACGACCAGCCACACUGGAACUGAGACACGGUCCAGACUCCUACGGGAGGCAGCAGUGGGGAACUUUGGACGAUGGGCGAAAGCCUGAUCCAGCAACGCCGCGUGAGUGAAGAAGGCCUUCGGGUUGUAAAGCUCUUUUGUCAGGGAAGAAACGGUGAGAGCUAAUAUCUUUGCUAAG